rnacentral:tRNA from 1 species
AUAAGGGAUGGCGGGCUUUUACAAUGAGGGGCGGUCUUGAAAACCGUUAGGGUGCAAGCCCACGUGGGUUCGAAUCCCACCCUCUCC